rfam:Fulvivirga imtechensis AK7 contig28, whole genome shotgun sequence.
GGCGCUGUACCCAAGUGGCUUAAGGGGAGGGCCUGCAAAGCCUUCAUUCGGUGGUUCGAAUCCAUCCAGCGCCU